UGGCAGCACAAAGUUACCCAAAUAACAGGCAACAAGGGGCUGGUUUUAACCACACAAAAAUAAAAAUACUCUCUCAAAAAGGAAAAUUACAAAGGAGGAAUCACAGAAAAUUUAAUGUAACAUGUUUCUUCAUAUUCUAAUUUUUCCUACCCCAUUCUGGCCUUUAUCUUCCAGAUGUUUUCUUCCUCUUCUUUCUCUCCCCAUAGUUUGCAAGCGAACUUCCCGUAAGUAUAUCCUCCCCACAACCUUAAGUGUUGUUACCUUAGCAUCCCUACAAACCUCCUAUAAAGAAGGCCCCUACCACAAAUGCAGUAACAUUCGGGUCCACUCAGCAAUACAGUCACCAUUUAUAUAUACCCAAAGGUUACUAAGACAAGGUAGAUGCAGGACAGCUUUUCCACCCGCUCACCAAAAUGGAAACUCCAGGUCAGCUUCCACAAGAAAUGGGAAAUUCAAGCGACUCUGGCGAAACGAUUCUUGAGAAAACUCUUCAAGGGCAACAAAACAAUAUUUCAAACAAACAGAUUUUACUUGAGGGAAUGGGGACAUUACACAGCAAUUGAUAUUCGAAUGGUUUUAAAUGGACUGAUUCGCCGUAAGUUACCUCCGCCGCCCCCACCAGUGUUCCCGCCCAGAGUUCGGACUAGGGCGCACCACCCCUACCCUGCUAGACGCAGCGGGGGCGCGCACAGACCUUAGCCUCGGCGUCCAAAAUGGACCAGGGGCAAGGCGCGGACGCCGUCCCCGCCCCCACGCCCCCAGCUGUAUUUAUAAAUAUAUAUAAGUAUACACACAUAUGUGUGUCUCUUUUAAAAAUUCUCUUUUUCCCCCUACUUCGCAGCCAAGGGGUCCUGUCCCUGGACAGAAAAUAAAGGCUUAGCCCCCUGCUGCCCCUAGGGCUUUAAAAACACUGCUGGGAAAGUACGCACUGUGGCACUAAGCAAAGAUCUCUAGAUGUGGAGCAAGGAGGCAUGAGUCCUAGUAUUAUUUAUCCCGCUAACUAGCUGAUUCUCUUCAGAAAGUCACUCCAUGAGUCAUCACUAUUCUAAAUAUUGGUGUCAGUCCCAAAUCAACAAGAACAAAUCCUAAAAUUGCACAGUCCACACUGGAAACUGCAUUUAUCAGCAAUGAUUUUACACAAUUAUUAAUUUUUUAUAAGAAACUGACCUGAAAGGAAAAUCAUGCUCUUCUGUCUCAUAUCUGAAUCAUUUUUGCAAUGAAAUUAAUAGGUAGUUUAUAGCAGCUCCUUGAGUUUCUGAAUUAAAAACUGAGGUAGAAAGUCAUCUGUGACCUUUAUAUAAAGAAAGCAAAACAUUUUACCUAUAAUUUUAAAGUAUCUUUUACCUAUUAGACCAUGUCUUCUUUCACAUGAAUAUAGUGGCUCUCUUUUAAGGCCAUAAAAUGAAACAAUCCCUGUAUGCUCCAGA
rnacentral:lncRNA from 10 species